rnacentral:rRNA from 1 species
GGUUUCUUGAGUGAAAAUGAAGAAUCUGACCUGCCCAAUGAAGUUUAAAUGGCCGCGGUAUAUUGACCGUGCGAAGGUAGCAUAGUCAUUAGUCCUUUAAUUGUGGACUGGAAUGAAUGGUUGGACGUAAUAAUAGCUUUUUUAGUUUUAAAUAUUGAAUUUUAYUUCUUGGUGAAGAGGCUAAGAUUAAACCAAAAGACAAGAAGACCCUAUCAAGUUUUAUUAUAAUGUAUUGUAAAGUARAGGAGCAAUGAAAGUACAAAUUAAUUUUACUGGGGCGGUGAGUUGAGAACCAAUUAUGAUCCAAAAUUUUUGAUUGAUUGUUUAAAUUACUGUAGGGAUAACAGCGUAAUCUUAUUUAARAGUUCAUAUCGACAAUAAGGGUUGCGACCUCGAUGUUGGAUUAGAAUUCCUUUUUGGAGCAGAAUCUGAAAAUGGUGGUCUGUUCGACCAUUAAAAUUCUACA